GAUGAACGCUGGCGGCGUGCCUAAUACAUGCAAGUCGAGCGAACGGACGAGAAGCUUGCUUCUCUGAUGUUAGCGGCGGACGGGUGAGUAACACGUGGAUAACCUACCUAUAAGACUGGGAUAACUUCGGGAAACCGGAGCUAAUACCGGAUAAUAUUAUGAACCGCAUGGUUCAAAAGUGAAAGACGGUCUUGCUGUCACUUAUAGAUGGCCCCGCGCUGCAUUAGCUAGUGGGUAAGGUAACGGCUUACCAAGGCAACGAUGCAUAGCCGACCUGAGAGGGUGAUCGGCCACACUGGAACUGAGACACGGUCCAGACUCCGACGGGAGGCAGCAGUAGGGAAUCUUCCGCGAUGGACGAAAGCCUGACGGAGCAACGCCGCGUGAGUGAUGAAGGUCUUCGGAUCGUAAAACUCUGUUAUUAGGGAAGAACAUAUGUGUAAGUAACUGUGCACAUCUUGACGGUACCUAAUCAGAAAGCCACGGCUAACUACGUG
rnacentral:rRNA from 1 species